rnacentral:lncRNA from 1 species
AAACUGAAGUCCAGUGAUGCGGGGUCAUGUCCAGAAGUGAUAAUAGGCUUCUAAUGUGGAGAAAAGUUUUGAAAAUCCAUCCUGCAGAAAAUGAGUGCACAGGAAGCAGCACAGUUUGAAUGUGUCUUAGUUAGUGGCUUGCUUAUUCCAGUGUGGGCGUGAGAAGAAAGUUUCAGAAGGUGAAUCUGGGAUACAGUGAUAGGGAUUUCAAAGCAGGCAAUAUUUCAUAAGGAUUGAUCCUAGUACUUGGCUUCUUUAUGUUUAGGAAAUCCCUCCAUCAGGUCAUGUGAGCACAGAAAAAUUGCAAUUGGAUUGAUGAUAUUUACUGGGAAUAGGAAAUGUAAUUUGGUUAAGAUGUAAGGCUGAGAGCACAAAAGGUGUAGAUGAAGGAGGACUGUGCAAAACAAUGUUGUGCAGAAACAUCAAGCUUAGUGAUGGUAGAGGUGCUCAUCAAGUAAAUGUGCUGUUUUGUUUUUGUUUCUUGCAGGAUUCCGGAACGUGAUGUGGAUUUUGAGACUGGAGUUUGCAGAAGAGUUUUCAGAAACUCUAUAACAAAGGCUACAAGCUACAAGCUGAAUUUAGAGGAGUUCAACAUGAAGACAAGGUGAGAUGUGAAGUCUGCGGGAGGAGAUGCCAAGAGACGUGUCUGAGCCGGUGUGAGUUGCUGUAAGCCUGCUGACUUUGAGAAGGUGCUCUGAUUUAUGCCAGGCAUGGCUCUGCCCUCACUUCCCAUUUAGGUUAAUGGUAUUUGUGCAUCCGGCUUCCCAAAUGUACCAUGAGGAAAAUUGGCUGUAUGAAGAUUAACACUAGCACGAUGAUAAUAUCCACUGGUUGUUACAAUAGAUCUGUUUAUCAAUACACUCUAGACACAUUCAAUAUCUUUGUGUUUCAUAAAGAAUUACUGUAAGCUGCCGUUGUUUAUCCCCUUAUUGCAUUUUCACAGUGCAUUAUAGGAAUGAUAAAAUUCCAUGGGCCAUAACUCCUAAUGGCAUAGAUGAUCAAUUUGACUUCUAAUUUGGAAGUAAAAGCACAUACAUGGCAUACUCUUUGCCCUAGUUUAGAAUAAUAGUCCCGCUUAUCUUUGUGGUAACGGUGGGACAUUAGUGGUAAUGAUUAGAAGUAAUGGCUUUUAACAAUAAUUUAUUUCUAGGCAUGUAAAUAUCUGAUUCAUUGGUCUCACAGCUGAUGCCAACAAUAUCAUAUAGGCACGUAAGAAUGUACAUCUUUCAAGGCAUCUAUAAUUCAGAGCAUCACUGAGAUGCUCUUUUUAAAGCAUGGAAGUUGUAGACAAAGAGGUGAAUUUGCUGUGUUCUGGUCUGCUGUUUGCAAGUGAACUAUGGCCGUCUAUGGCAGUGAUGACUACCUGCACAUCUCCCACAGAGAAUUUAAGAAAUUAACAUUCUAAGUUGAGCUUCACUUUCUGUGAGGCCUCCUGCACUGCUCAUGACGUUGUCACAGUCCUGGAGUGAUAGGAAGUGGAUUUUUUUCCAUCUUAAAAUUUUCAUGGAAAAGCUGUUGGGAGGCUGAUGGCCUGCUUGGGUG